UUCCGGUUGAUCCUGCCGGACCUGACUGCUAUUGGAGUGGGACUAAGUCACGCUAGUCAAAGGUGCGGAAUGGAGCACCUGGCGUACGGCUCAGUAACACGUAGUCAACCUGCCCUAAGGACGAGGACAACCACGGGAAACUGUGGAUAAUACUCGAUAAGAAAUUUGGCCUGGAACGGUAUCUUUCACAAAACCGGCUCGCCGUGAGACACGGGCCUUAGGAUGGGGCUGCGGUCGAUUAUGCUAGAUGGCGGUGUAAAGGACCACCAUGGCUAUGAUCGGUAUGGGCGAUGGAAGUCGGAGCCCAGAGUCGGCUACUGAGACAAGGAGCCGAGCUUUACGAAGCUUAGCGGUCGCGAAAACUCGCCAAUGCACGAAAGUGUGAGUGGGCUACUCCAAGUGUCAUUCUUACGGAUGACUGUCGCUCAGUCUUACCAGCUGAGAAAGGAAGGAGAGGGCAAGGCUGGUGCCAGCCGCCGCGGUAAAACCAGCUCUUCGAGUGGUCAGGACGAAUAUUGGGUCUAAAGCGCUCGUAGCCGGACAAGUAGGUUCUUGGUUAAACCCGACAGCAUAACUGUUGGCCUGCUGGGAAUACCGCUAGUCUUGGAAGCGGGAGAGGACAGAGGUAGUCAUGGGGCAGGGGUGAAAUCCAGUGAUCCCAUGGCGACCACCGAUGGCGAAGGCAUCUGUCUGGAACGUAUUCGACGGUGAGGGGCGAAAGCUAGGGGAGCGACCCGGAUUAGAUACCCGGUUAGUCCUAGCCGUAAACGAUGCGGACUAGGUGUUACAGCGGCCAAGAGCCACUGUAGUGCCACAGCGAAGGCGUUAAGUCCGCCACCUGGGGAGUACGGAUGCAAGUCUGAAACCUAAACGCAAUUGACGGGGGGCGUCACGUCAGGAGUGAUGCACUGCGGAUAUACUGGAUCACGCGGGA
rnacentral:rRNA from 1 species